AACGAACGCUGGCGGCAUGCCUAACACAUGCAAGUCGAACGAACCCUUCGGGGUUAGUGGCGCACGGGUGCGUAACGCGUGGGAAUCUGCCCUUUGCUUCGGAAUAACUCAGGGAAACUUGUGCUGAUACCGGAUGAUGUCUUCGGACCAAAGAUUUAUCGGCAAGGGAUGAGCCCGCGUAGGAUUAGGUAGUUGGUGGGGUAAAGGCCUACCAAGCCGACGAUCCUUAGCUGGUCUGAGAGGAUGAUCAGCCACACUGGGACUGAGACACGGCCCAGACUCCUACGGGAGGCAGCAGUGGGGAAUAUUGGACAAUGGGCGCAAGCCUGAUCCAGCAAUGCCGCGUGAGUGAUGAAGGCCCUCGGGUCGUAAAGCUCUUUUACCAGGGAUGAUAAUGACAGUACCUGGAGAAUAAGCUCCGGCUAACUCCGUG
rnacentral:rRNA from 1 species